rnacentral:rRNA from 1 species
GACCUCGGAUCAGGUAGGGAUACCCGCUGAACUUAAGCAUAUCAAUAAGCGGAGGAAAAGAAACCAACAGGGAUUGCCUCAGUAACGGCGAGUGAAGCGGCAACAGCUCAAAUUUGAAAUCUGGCCCCUCCGGGGUCCGAGUUGUAAUUUGUAGAGGGUGUUUCGGGCGACGCGCCGGUCUAAGUCCCUUGGAACGGGGCGUCAUAGAGGGUGAGAAUCCCGUAUGCGACCGGCGACCGAGCCCAUGUGAAACCCCUUCGACGAGUCGAGUUGUUUGGGAAUGCAGCUCAAAACGGGUGGUAAAUUCCAUCUAAAGCUAAAUACCGGCCAGAGACCGAUAGCGCACAAGUAGAGUGAUCGAAAGAUGAAAAGCACUUUGGAAAGAGAGUCAAACAGUACGUGAAAUUGUUGAAAGGGAAGCGCUUGCAACCAGACCUGCCCGCGGGCGAUCAGCCGUCCUUCUGGGCGGUGCACUCGCCCGCGAUCAGGCCAGCAUCGGUUCGGGCGGUCGGAUAAAGGCCUCGGGAACGUGGCUCCCCUCGGGGAGUGUUAUAGCCCUUGGUGCAAUGCGGCCUGCCCGGACCGAGGACCGCGCUUCGGCUAGGAUGCUGGCGUAAUGGUUGUAAGCGGCCCGUCUUGAAACACGGACCAAGGAGUCGACCAACUAUGCGAGUGUUUGGGCGUCAAACCCACACGCGCAAUGAAAGUGAACGGAGGUGGGAACCCCUCGCGGGGCGCACCAUCGACCGAUCCAGAUGUCUUCGGAUGGAUUUGAGUACGAGCAUAGCUGGUCGGACCCGAAAGAUGGUGAACUAUGCCUGAAUAGGGUGAAGCCAGAGGAAACUCUGGUGGAGGCUCGCAGCGGUUCUGACGUGCAAAUCGAUCGUCAAAUUUGGGCAUAGGGGCGAAAGACUAAUCGAACCAUCUAGUAGCUGGUUCCAGCCGAA